rnacentral:rRNA from 1 species
UUGAACGCUGGCGGCAUGCUUUACCCAUGCAAGUCGAACGGCAGCGCGGGCUUCGGCCUGGCGGCGAGUGGCGAACGGGUGAGUAAUGCAUCGGAACGUGCCCAGUAGUGGGGGAUAGCCCGGCGAAAGCCGGAUUAAUACCGCAUACGACCUGAGGGUGAAAGCGGGGGACCGAAAGGCCUCGCGCUAUUGGAGCGGCCGAUGUCGGAUUAGCUAGUUGGUGGGGUAAAGGCUUACCAAGGCGACGAUCCGUAGCUGGUCUGAGAGGACGACCAGCCACACUGGGACUGAGACACGGCCCAGACUCCUACGGGAGGCAGCAGUGGGGAAUUUUGGGCAAUGGGGGCAACCCUGAUCCAGCCAUGCCGCGUGCGGGAAGAAGGCCUUCGGGUUGUAAACCGCUUUUGUUCGGGAAGAAAUCCUCUGGGCUAAUACCCCGGGGGGAUGACGGUACCGGAAGAAUAAGCACCGGCUAACUACGUG